rnacentral:rRNA from 1 species
CUGGCUCAGGAUGAACGCUGGCGGUAUGCCUAACACAUGCAAGUCGAACGGUCACUUCGGUGAUAGUGGCGGACGGGUGAGUAACGCGUGAGAAUCUGCCUCUUGGUUGGGGACAACAGUUGGAAACGACUGCUAAUACCCAAUGUGCCGCAAGGUGAAAGAUUUAUUGCCAAGAGAGGAGCUCGCGUCUGAUUAGCUAGUUGGUAGUGUAAGGGACUACCAAGGCAUCGAUCAGUAGCUGGUCUGAGAGGAUGAGCAGCCACACUGGGACUGAGACACGGCCCAGACUCCUACGGGAGGCAGCAGUGGGGAAUUUUCCGCAAUGGGCGAAAGCCUGACGGAGCAAUACCGCGUGAGGGAGGAAGGCUCUUGGGUUGUAAACCUCUUUUCUUAGGGAAGAACACAAUGACGGUACCUAAGGAAUAAGCAUCGGCUAACUCCGUGCCAGCAGCCGCGGUAAUACGGAGGAUGCAAGCGUUAUCCGGAAUUAUUGGGCGUAAAGCGUCCGUAGGUGGUUUUUCAAGUCUGCUGUCAAAGACCGUGGCUUAACCACGGAAAGGCAGUGAAAACUGAGAGACUAGAGUUCGGUAGGGGUAGCGGGAAUUCCCAGUGUAGCGGUGAAAUGCGUAGAUAUUGGGAAGAACAUCGGUGGCGAAGGCGCGCUACUGGACCGAAACUGACACUCAGAGGACGAAAGCUAGGGGAGCGAAAGGGAUUAGAUACCCCUGUAGUCCUAGCUGUAAACGAUGGAAACUAGGUGUGGCUUGUAUCGACCCGAGCCGUGCCGAAGCUAACGCGUUAAGUUUCCCGCCUGGGGAGUACGCACGCAAGUGUGAA